UGGGGAAUUUUGGACAAUGGGCGCAAGCCUGAUCCAGCCAUGCCGCGUGCGGGAAGAAGGCCUUCGGGUUGUAAACCGCUUUUGUCAGGGAAGAAAAGGUUCUGGUUAAUACCUGGGACUCAUGACGGUACCUGAAGAAUAAGCACCGGCUAACUACGUGCCAGCAGCCGCGGUAAUACGUAGGGUGCAAGCGUUAAUCGGAAUUACUGGGCGUAAAGCGUGCGCAGGCGGUUAUGCAAGACAGAGGUGAAAUCCCCGGGCUCAACCUGGGAACUGCCUUUGUGACUGCAUAGCUAGAGUACGGUAGAGGGGGAUGAAAUUCCGCGUGUAGCAGUGAAAUGCGUAGAUAUGCGGAGGAACACCGAUGGCGAAGGCAAUCCCCUGGACCUGUACUGACGCUCAUGCACGAAAGCGUGGGGAGCAAACAGG
rnacentral:rRNA from 1 species